CACUCAAAGCUAAAAGCAUUAAAUCCAAAACAAUUAGAGGGUUAAAACCAUAUACAAGUUCAAACGGCAAAAAACCAGUAGAAGAAUGAAUUGUUUUAUUCACCACAAACUCAAUAAAAGGUGAACAAUCUUUCCAAGUUUUUAAAUUCUUACCAACAACAACACGCAAUAAGGUCCCUAAUGUUCUAUUCACCACUUCAGUUUGACCAUCUGUCUGAGGAUAACUAGUAGUAGAGUAUAAUAAUUUUGUUCCAAACUUAACCUACAAUACUUUCCAAAAAUGACUUAAGAAUUUUACAUAAGGAUCAGAGAUAAUAGUUUGAAAACGUCAUGAAAGUGCACAACCUCUUUAGAAAAUAGAUCAGCAAUAUUUGUUACAUCGUCAGUUUUAUGGCAUGUAUUGAAAUGAGCUAUUUUACCAAAGCUGUCUACCACAACAAAAAUACUAUCUCUACCUUUCCUAGUUUUAAGGAAACCAAGAACAAAAUUCGUAGAUAUAUCAACUUAUGAAAUUAUAGAAACAGAUAAUAGGAUUUAGUACAAAAUUUUUCAACAUCUCUACGCAUGUGUAGCCAAUAAAAAUGUUCAGAUAACAUAUCCAAAGUUUUAUAUCCACCAAAAUGACCCAUCAAACCCCUACUAUGUGAUUCCAGAACAAAUAAAUCCUUUAUGGAAUAAAUAGGCACACAAAUCCUAUCACCUCGAAAAAAAAAA